rnacentral:lncRNA from 1 species
CAGGAUGACAUACAAUGAAUGGGCUGCACAUCUAAGCAAAAGAAGCUAGCUACAACAUUUUAAAAUCAUUAUCUCAUAUUUCCUUUCCUUGUUCAAUGUAUACUUGGGUUUUAUAUGAUUGAUGGUUACCUGAUUCUCCUGUAUUCCUGUUAUGUUGCUAUGUGCCUCUAUGUUUCUAUCGUAUUUCUAUAUUGUUACCUGUUUCUUAGUUUCUAUUGGUGUAACAUCUCUAGGUGUUCAGGUUGUUGUU